rnacentral:rRNA from 1 species
UACGUGAAACCGUUCAGGGGUAAACCUGAGAAACCCGAAAGGUCGAAAGGGGAGAUUCAGCGUGUCUCGACUGCGGCGCUGGGCGGUCGCGUGACGGACGACGUACGCGUUGUCCGCACCCUCUGUCCUCCGAACUGCGGUCGAACGCGUGCACUUCUCCCCCUGUAGGACGUCGCGAUCCGUUGGGCGCAGGCCUAAGGCCCGCGGUGGAGCCCGUCUGGAUACGGCUUAAGCCCCGUUCCGGACGAACCCGCGGUGUUUCCCGGCCUGCUCGCUCGACGGUAUACAGAUGGCGCGGGGCCGCUAUCCAUUUGAGUUAGCGUCCGACCCGCGGCAAGCGCGCCCGUCGUGUUGGUGAUCGGACCUGGUGCCGGUCCCGACCGCGGGUGGCUGUUCGCUGCGGUGUUCUCGGACAGACCUCGAUGAAACGCCGAUCUGCGACGCUAUAGCUUUGGGUACUUUCAGGACCCGUCUUGAAACACGGACCAAGGAGUCUAGCAUGUGCGCGAGUCAUUGGGAUCACAAUAGACCUAAAGGCGCAAUGAAAGUGAAGGCCCGCCUUGCGCGGGCCAAGGGAGGAUGGGUGAAGGUUUCGGCCGACGCCCCGCACUCCCGGGGCGUCUCGUUCUCAUUGCGAGAAGAGGCGCACCAAGAGCGUACACGCUGGGACCCGAAAGAUGGUGAACUAUGCCUGGUCAGGACGAAGUCA